rnacentral:rRNA from 1 species
UGGGGAAUUUUGGACAAUGGGCGAAAGCCUGAUCCAGCAAUGCCGCGUGUGUGAAGAAGGCCUUCGGGUUGUAAAGCACUUUUGUCCGGAAAGAAAUCCUUGGCUCUAAUACAGUCGGGGGAUGACGGUACCGGAAGAAUAAGCACCGGCUAACUACGUGCCAGCAGCCGCGGUAAUACGUAGGGUGCAAGCGUUAAUCGGAAUUACUGGGCGUAAAGCGUGCGCAGGCGGUUUGCUAAGACCGAUGUGAAAUCCCCGGGCUCAACCUGGGAACUGCAUUGGUGACUGGCAGGCUAGAGUAUGGCAGAGGGGGGUAGAAUUCCACGUGUAGCAGUGAAAUGCGUAGAGAUGUGGAGGAAUACCGAUGGCGAAGGCAGCCCCCUGGGCCAAUACUGACGCUCAUGCACGAAAGCGUGGGGAGCAAACAGGAUUAGAUACCCUGGUAGUCCACGUCCUAAACGAUGUCAACUAGUUGUUGGGGAUUCAUUUUCCUUAGUAACGUAGCUAACGCGUGAAGUUGACCGCCUGGGGAGUACGGUCGCAAGAUUAAAACUCAAAGGAAUUGACGGGGUCAUAGCUG